rnacentral:misc_RNA from 1 species
CCUCAAAGCCCCUAGUCCCCACCAAAAUGUUUCUUACCAAACCAAAGAAAGUAACAAAGUCCCUCAUCUUUCUUUCAUCGCAUCCCUUCAGAAGUUCCUCUUCCUCUCUCCUUCUCCUCUCUUUCUCUCUCUGUGGAACAGAAUGAUACAGAGCAUCAGAAAAUCAGACCCAUCAAUGGAAAUCUCACCGAAACACCAAGAAAAUCACAACCCACAAUCUCUCCUCCCUUCCCCUAACAGCCACAGCAGCAGCAGCAGCAGCACCA